rnacentral:rRNA from 1 species
UACGGGGGGGGGUAAGCGUUGUUCGGAAUUACUGGGCGUAAAGGGCUCGUAGGCGGCCAACUAAGUCAGACGUGAAAUCCCUCGGCUUAACCGGGGAACUGCAUCCGAUACUGGAUGGCUUGAGUUUGGGAGAGGGAUGCGGAAUUCCAGGUGUAGCGGUGAAAUGCGUAGAUAUCUGGAGGAACACCGGUGGCGAAGGCGGCAUCCUGGACCAACACUGACGCUGAUGAGCGAAAGCCAGGGGAGCAAAGCGGG